rnacentral:rRNA from 1 species
GACGAACGCUGGCGGCGUGCCUAAUACAUGCAAGUAGAACGCUGAAGGAGGAGCUUGCUUCUCUGGAUGAGUUGCGAACGGGUGAGUAACGCGUAGGUAACCUGCCUGGUAGCGGGGGAUAACUAUUGGAAACGAUAGCUAAUACCGCAUAAGAGUGGAUGUUGCAUGACAUUUGCUUAAAAGGUGCACUUGCAUCACUACCAGAUGGACCUGCGUUGUAUUAGCUAGUUGGUGGGGUAAGGGCUCACCAAGGCGACGAUACAUAGCCGACCUGAGAGGGUGAUCGGCCACACUGGGACUGAGACACGGCCCAGACUCCUACGGGAGGCAGCAGUAGGGAAUCUUCGGCAAUGGACGGAAGUCUGACCGAGCAACGCCGCGUGAGUGAAGAAGGUUUUCGGAUCGUAAAGCUCUGUUGUAAGAGAAGAACGAGUGUGAGAGUGGAAAGUUCACACUGUGACGGUAUCUUACCAGAAAGGGACGGCUAACUACGUGCCAGCAGCCGCGGUAAUACGUAGGUCCCGAGCGUUGUCCGGAUUUAUUGGGCGUAAAGCGAGCGCAGGCGGUUAGAUAAGUCUGAAGUUAAAGGCUGUGGCUUAACCAUAGUAGGCUUUGGAAACUGUUUAACUUGAGUGCAAGAGGGGAGAGUGGAAUUCCAUGUGUAGCGGUGAAAUGCGUAGAUAUAUGGAGGAACACCGGUGGCGAAAGCGGCUCUCUGGCUUGUAACUGACGCUGGGGCUCGAAAGCGUGGGGAGCAAACAGGAUUAGGUACCCUGGUAGUCCACGCUGUAAACGAUGAGUGCUAGGUGUUAGACCCUUUCCGGGGUUUAGUGCCGUAGCUAACGCAUUAAGCACUCCGCCUGGGGAGUACGACCGCAAGGUUGAAACUCAAAGGAAUUGACGGGGGCCCGCACAAGCGGUGGAGCAUGUGGUUUAAUUCGAAGCAACGCGAAGAACCUUACCAGGUCUUGACAUCCCUCUGACCGCUCUAGAGAUAGAGCUUUCCUUCGGGACAGAGGUGACAGGUGGUGCAUGGUUGUCGUCGGCUCGUGUCGUGAGAUGUUGGGUUAAGUCCCGCAACGAGCGCAACCCCUAUUGUUAGUUGCCAUCAUUUAGUUGGGCACUCUAGCGAGACUGCCGGUAAUAAACCGGAGGAAGGUGGGGAUGACGUCAAAUCAUCAUGCCCCUUAUGACCUGGGCUACACACGUGCUACAAUGGCCGGUACAACGAGUCGCAAGCCGGUGACGGCAAGCUAAUCUCUUAAAGCCAGUCUCAGUUCGGAUUGUAGGCUGCAACUCGCCUACAUGAAGUCGGAAUCGCUAGUAAUCGCGGAUCAGCACGCCGCGGUGAAUACGUUCCCGGGCCU